GACUGCAUAGCUCAGUCGGUAGAGCAUCACACUCUUAAUCUGAGAGUCAUGGGUUCAAAUCCCUCUGCGGGUG
rnacentral:tRNA from 1 species